GCGGCGGCUGCUGAGGGCCGCGCGCCGGCUGCGGCUGGGGACCGCGGGGCGGCUGCGGCUGGGGACCGCGCGGCUGCU
rnacentral:tRNA from 1 species